UGAGGAAUAUUGGUCAAUGGGUGCAAGCCUGAACCAGCCAUCCCGCGUGAAGGACGACUGCCCUAUGGGUUGUAAACUUCUUUUGUAUAGGGAUAAACCUACCCUCGUGAGGGUAGCUGAAGGUACUAUACGAAUAAGCACCGGCUAACUCCGUGCCAGCAGCCGCGGUAAUACGGAGGGUGCAAGCGUUAUCCGGAUUUAUUGGGUUUAAAGGGUACGUAGGCGGACUUAUAAGUCAGUGGUGAAAGCCUGUCGCUUAACGAUAGAACUGCCGUUGAUACUGUAAGUCUUGAGUAUAUUUUAGGUAGCUGGAAUAAGUAGUGUAGCGGUGAAAUGCAUAGAUAUUACUUAGAACACCAAUUGCGAAGGCAGGUUACCAAGAUAUAACUGACGCUGAGGGACGAAAGCGUGGGGAGCGAACA
rnacentral:rRNA from 1 species